rnacentral:rRNA from 1 species
GUGCCAGCAGCCGCGGUAAUACGAAGGUCCCAAGCGUUGUUCGGAAUCACUGGGCGUAAAGGGAGCGUAGGCGGCGUGGUAAGUCAGAUGUGAAAUCCCGGGGCUCAACCCCGGAACUGCAUCCGAUACUGCCAUGCUAGAGGAUUGGAGAGGUAGCUGGAAUUCUUGGUGUAGCAGUGAAAUGCGUAGAGAUCAAGAGGAACACUCGUGGCGAAAGCGAGCUACUGGACAAUUCCUGACGCUGAGGCUCGAAGGCUAGGGUAGCGAAAGGGAUUAGAUACCCCUGUAGUCC